UACGUAGGGUGCGAGCGUUAAUCGGAAUUACUGGGCGUAAAGUGUGCGCAGGCGGCAGAGCAAGUCGAGUGUGAAAGCCCCGGGCUUAACUUGGGAAUUGCGCUCGAAACUACUUUGCUGGAGUGUGGCAGAGGAAGGUGGAAUUCCACGUGUAGCGGUGAAAUGCGUAGAGAUGUGGAGGAACACCAAUGGCGAAGGCAGCCUUCUGGGCCAACACUGACGCUCAUGCACGAAAGCGUGGGGAGCAAACAGGAUUAGAAACCGUGUAGUCC
rnacentral:rRNA from 1 species